GUGACAACCCUGCUACCUCAGAGACCAGGAACAGCCACUUACGGCAGGAACCCCAAGAAUACAGGCCAUUGGUAAUUUCAUUACGAAUAUGAAUGAGAUGGAGGUCCAGAUUUUCCUGUCUCCUUUUCCAGUCCUGAUGAAGCUACAAAAAUGUUUUCAAGGAACACACAAUCACAAAGGG